CCGACCUUACCUCAGUUGGUAGAGCGGAGACUGUAGAUCCUUAGGUUGCUGUUCGAAUCCGACAGGUCAGA
rnacentral:tRNA from 1 species